GCCCAGUUCAGCUAAAACUGCCAAGCCUACUUUCAGAAGUGGAUCUGCCAUGGCCAGUAAUAGCUGUGCGUUUCAUUGUCGUUGUUCAGAUUGUAAUUUUUAUUCUAUUAGGACAUAAAAAUGCUAUUUUAAACACUUCAGGAUACACUGUUUGAGGUGACGUCCAUUUGUUUUUUUUUUAAUAUAAUUUUGAACAUUUGCAUAUUCGAUCUUGGUUUUUUUAUGCUGAAUAUAUAUAUACACACACUUUCAUAUGUAUUCACAUAUUUACAUGUAUAUAUACAUAUUCAUUAAUUACAUAUUUACAGAUCAUAUAUACACACACAUUUAUACGCAUACACACGGACUCAUAUUUAUAGAUACGUUUGUACCCACAUAAAUAAAUACAUGCACACCCCCGCAUUCACGCCUGGGAACGUCAGAAUUUGACCAAUGCCUCUGGGUUGUUUUCAAAGUUGAAUUUUUAGUGCACAGUUAGAUCCCAAGGCGAUGUGAUCUGGAGUAGACACAAGUAGGAUCUAUCAGAAUUGGCUACUGGUGUAUCUACCUAGUAGGUGCUAUUCUAGCCAGUAAGCCAGUAAGAUAGUACGGGCGAGUCAUACAAUGUUUGGUCCUCAAAAUAAUUUCAUUGGGCUUAAGCACAAAUAGCCUUACGCCUGGAAUGUUAAAGACCAUCGAACUAAGAGGAGUGACAUAACAUUGCUUUUUUAAAGUCAUAAAUUACUAACAGGUAUUUUUUUUAAGUGAGCUUAAAGAGGGUCACCUUUUAUUUGAAAGUUUCCAGGUAUGUAAACUUCGUAUCCACAUCAACAAUCAUAUGUAUGUAUAUAUAUAUUUCUUUUUAGUAUGCAUAAGUGAACAUCUUCGGUGGUGUGUGUUUUCAGAAUUUGAUGCAAGUGUUGCCUGUGUUUUUUGAUAAACACUAAACUUGGGCUCUUUUAAAGGAAUAGUGAAUGCAACAUCUGGAUUAGAAAACUACCUUCCGUUAAACUACCUUCCGUUAACAGAAAAUGAUGUUGGCCAACGGUUUAUUAUAGGCUUUGGAUGUUUGUCAUGUGAUUCCUUAUCACUUUAUAAUUAUGAUGAAAAAAAAACUGUUAGUUCUAAUGAGUUUUCUGACGUUUAGAAGAUUCUUCUAGAGCGAGCUAUAAGCUGAUGGAAAAGUUUCCCACCCAUAACUUCAUUCUAGAAUUGUUCUCUGCUAGAUGGUUGUGAACUUGCUACUCUCGGGGUACUUCAGUUCAAGAGUCUGAUCCAUUGAUAAUCCUAUACCAUUAAUAGGACACUAUGUAACCCACUAGGGAGAAUUUUACAUUACCCUAAUUAUAACAAAGAUAACAUAGAUACCUAAUGAUGUGUUUACAAAUGUUUAGCAAAUUUUGCAAAUUUAGGACAAGCAUUUUGUCUUCAUAAUUAUCCCUUUGAUAGGACACUUAACUUGCUUUAUUUAAAGCUGUCUUUAAUAUGAGACACGUCUAGAUAUCAUGACUACUAUUCCUUUAAAAUGUCCCAGGCUCUACCAGUACUUCUCUGCUUAACAGUGAGAAACUCAUUUUCUUGUUUGUUUGUUUUGUUUAUUAACAAAUUUCCCAAUCUCUAAUCAACAGAAUGGGCCAUUAAAUCUGGUCAUUCAAAGUUUACUAAAUACCUUCUGCUUGUUUUUUAAUGAAGAUUUUGUCUGAAUCCAAGCAGACUUAACCACUUCACAACAAGGUUAAGAAAUGAUUAUUAUCUAUUAUACUACGAUGGCUUCUAUCGUGCCAUAAAGUAGUUAAGAGAAGAAGUAGUAUGAGCUGCAGAUUGUAAUAAAACGUUGAUUCCCAUUGUGAUCUAAUAGAAGGGUAAUAAUAUUCUUAGGUAAAAUAUUUAUAGCAAAAUGUCAUGGAUUGUAUAAUUAUCCACUCGGUGUAGUUCCCUCUUCUCCCCAUCUAUCGGUGGUGGUUCCCUGUGACUAUUUCAGGUUCUGUCUUGGUUAUCAACAAGCAAUAACUCUGUUUAGCCUUAUUCUGGAAAUUAGCCAAAGGUAAUGAUGUAAUACUUUAGGAGAGAUACAUUUUUAUGUCAUUCAUUCUGUCUACUUUGUGAACCAGUAUAUAUUUUACAUUGAAUCAGAUUUCCCUUUGUCUAUAAUUCACACUAUUAAUAAGUUUGACUUUGUGUAAAUAUCCUCACGAUACAAGAAUAGUUAAAUAAGUAAAAUUAUUCAACGAGAGACUAGUAGAUGUACCCCUUAUGUCUUACUAAAGGUACAUUUAGUCCACAGAUGGGUAAUAUGGACCAGAAAGUAAGUAAUGCCAACCCACUAUUGGAUUAUUGGAAUAAUGCUAUAUAAGAGCUGGACAUAACUGGAUAAUAUGUAAAGGACAACGGGCAAUCAAGAAUCUUUACCUAGAAAUCAGGGACAAAUCUGGCUGCUAUACGAUAUCAGUUCUUACUGCAAUAAUUUAAAAUUCUAAAAAGCUAUUCCAAUAUCAAUGUGUGUUCAUAAUUACGGAUAUUUACCUGUUUCUUCAUCAGGGCGAUU